AUACGUAGGUGGCAAGCGUUGUCCGGAAUUAUUGGGCGUAAAGCGCAUGUAGGCGGUUUGGUAAGUCGGUCGUGAAAAUGCGGUGCUUAACGCCGUAUGGCGAUUGAAACUGCUGAACUUGAGUGCAGGAGAGGAAAGGGGAACUCCCAGUGUAGCGGUGAAAUGCGUAGAUAUUGGGAAGAACACCGGUGGCGAAGGCGCCUUUCUGGACUGUGUCUGACGCUCAGAUGCGAAAGCCAGGGUAGCGAACGGGAUUAGAUACCCCGGUAGUCCUGGCCGUAAACGAUGGGUACUAGGUGUGGGAGGUAUCGACUCCUUCCGUGCCGGAGUUAACGCAAUAAGUCCCCCGCCUGGGGAGUACGGCCGCAAGGCUUAAACUCAAAUGAAUUGACGGGG
rnacentral:rRNA from 1 species